rnacentral:rRNA from 1 species
GGAGGAAAAGAAACCAACAGGGAUUGCCCCAGUAACGGCGAGUGAAGCGGCAACAGCUCAAAUUUGAAAUCUGGCCCCCCGGGGCCCGAGUUGUAAUUUGCAGAGGAUGCUUUUGGCGAGGCGCCUUCCGAGUUCCCUGGAACGGGACGCCACAGAGGGUGAGAGCCCCGUCUGGUUGGAUGCCGAGCCUCUGUAAAGCUCCUUCGACGAGUCGAGUAGUUUGGGAAUGCUGCUCUAAAUGGGAGGUAUAUGUCUUCUAAAGCUAAAUAUUGGCCAGAGACCGAUAGCGCACAAGUAGAGUGAUCGAAAGAUGAAAAGCACUUUGAAAAGAGGGUUAAAUAGUACGUGAAAUUGUUGAAAGGGAAGCGCUCAUGACCAGACUUGGGCCCGGUGAAUCAUCCAGCGUUCUCGCUGGUGCACUUUGCCGGGCUCAGGCCAGCAUCAGUUCGCCCCGGGGGAGAAAGGCUCUGGGAAUGUGGCCCCUCCGGGAGUGUUAUAGCCCUUCUGCGCAAAUGCCCUGGGGCGGACUGAAGGUCCGCGCAUCUGCAAG